rnacentral:rRNA from 1 species
AGGACGAACGCUGGCGGCGCGCCUCAUACAUGCAAGUCGAGCGAGAAAUCCGGGGCUUGCCCCGGGUGGAGAGCGGCGAACGGGUGAGGAACACGUGAGGAACCUGCCUCGAAGACCGGGAUAACACCGGGAAACCGGUGCUAAUACCGGAUGCCCUCACCGGAUCACAAGAUGCGGUGAGGAAAUGGAUUCCGCUUCGGGAUGGUCUCGCGGCCUAUCAGCUAGUUGGUGGGGUAACGGCCCACCAAGGCUUCGACGGGUAGCUGGUCUGAGAGGAUGUCCAGCCACACUGGGACUGAGACACGGCCCAGACUCCUACGGGAGGCAGCAGUAGGGAAUCUUGCGCAAUGGGCGAAAGCCUGACGCAGCGACGCCGCGUGCGGGAUGAAGGCCUUCGGGUUGUAAACCGCUUUCAGCAGGGACGAAAUUGACGGUACCUGCAGAAGAAGGCCCGGCAACUACGUGCCAGCAGCCGC